CUCCGGAGACCUCUCCCCACAUGGCCCCUCCCCGCGCGCACUCCUUCCCCAUGCAACCACCUCCUAGCGCCCCCUCCCUGCGACCCCUCCCCGCGCGCCCCCUCCCCGUGCGCCCCCGCGGUCCCUCCUCCGCGCGCCGCGGUCCCUCCUCCUCUCGCCGCCUCUGUGCGCCCGCGGGGCCGCCUCGGUGCCCGUUUACUGCGCGCGGCAGCCACUCUGGAGCCGGCGCACAUCUGGAUGGAGUCAGGCCCAGCGCCCGGGCCGGCGCCCAGCCAGUCCCCACCCGCUGGAUUUCCUGAUGUAAACAGAGCAAGAACACAGCAACUCUGCUGAAUGUGUCACGCGGCGCUCUUUAUCUGCUUGGGGUCAAGACGGCGACUUAGAAAAACAGAAGCGUUGCUUUGAAUUUAAACAGCUAAGAGCCAGAGCCGAGACUGGUCUGCAGGGGGGAGGGCGAAGGCCUCCAGACCCACCUCCCGCUUUUGUGCCUACUUGUUCCACUUGAUGGCAUGAUUUGUUUCCUUAGGAAUUCCUUCUAUAGUACUUGGAGCUUUGUGGAUAAAGCACCAGUCAGAGCCGCCCUGUGGAAAUGGAGCAAAGAGUUGAAAUGUGAUUCCCAACCUGGAGUGGAUGCUCUUUUCACGCUCAGCUGGGUCUCUAACUCCUGAAAUAUUAAUCUGACAUAGGACAAGUACCAUCCAGGGAUGUGAAAAAUCCAGCCUGAGGCCCCAAACAGAGUGGGGCCUGCUCUCUGGGCAGAUCCAGAGCUCCUGAAGAUGAAAACCUCGUAAGCCAACUGUGGACUCGGUGCUUUGCUGCAAGAGGAUUCAUUUGAGCUAUAAUAAAAAGUAGUGUGUUUAUUUAACCCCUGUAAGCUGAUCUCCUUGGUCUUCAUGAACUGGCUGGGCAGCUAAGGACCCACAUUCCUUCCACAGUUAAUAAAACUUCAUAUUUUUCUCUGUAUUCAUAAAUUUAAUUGCACUCAGACCCACUUAAUCUACAUUAGUUUUUGAAACUUUACCUAGAUUAAAAAAACACAAGCACUUCUAUCCCUCCCCCCGACCCUCCCUGCAACAUGCAGCAUAAUCAUCAUCUUUAAGUUAGAC
ensembl:lncRNA